UCGGAUUGCAGGCUGCAACCCGCCUGCAUGAAGCCGGAAUCGCUAGUAAUCGCGGAUCAGAAUGCCGCGGUGAAUACGUUCCCGGGUCUUGUACACACCGCCCGUCACACCAUGGGAGUCGGGAAUGCCCGAAGUCAGUGGCCCAACCGGAAGGGGGGAGCUGCCGAAGGCAGGCCCGGUGACUGGGGUGAAGUCGUAACAAGGUACC
rnacentral:rRNA from 1 species